UACGUAGGUGGCAAGCGUUAUCCGGAAUUAUUGGGCGUAAAGCGCGCGCAGGUGGUUUCUUAAGUCUGAUGUGAAAGCCCACGGCUCAACCGUGGAGGGUCAUUGGAAACUGGGAGACUUGAGUGCAGAAGAGGAAAGUGGAAUUCCAUGUGUAGCGGUGAAAUGCGUAGAGAUAUGGAGGAACACCAGUGGCGAAGGCGACUUUCUGGUCUGUAACUGACACCGAGGCGCGAAAGCGCUGGGGAGCAAACAGG
rnacentral:rRNA from 1 species